rnacentral:rRNA from 1 species
GACGAACGCUGGCGGCGUGCUUAACACAUGCAAGUCGAACGGAAAGGCCCUGCUUUUGUGGGGUGCUCGAGUGGCGAACGGGUGAGUAACACGUGAGUAACCUGCCCUUUACUUUGGGAUAACUUCAGGAAACUGGGGCUAAUACCGGAUAGGAGCUCCUGCUGCAUGGUGGGGGUUGGAAAGUUUCGGCGGUUGGGGAUGGACUCGCGGCUUAUCAGCUUGUUGGUGGGGUAGUGGCUUACCAAGGCUUUGACGGGUAGCCGGCCUGAGAGGGUGACCGGCCACAUUGGAACUGAGAUACGGCCAGACUCCUACGGGAGGCAGCAGUGGGGAAUAUUGCACAAUGGGCGGAAGCCUGAUGCAGCAACGCCGCGUGCGGGAUGACGGCCUUCGGGUUGUAAACCGCUUUCGCCUGUGACGAAGCGUGAGUGACGGUAAUGGGUAAAGAAGCACCGGCUAACUACGUG